ensembl:rRNA 5S_rRNA 5S ribosomal RNA
CUUAAGGUCACAUACAACCCUGAGAACGCCCGAUCUUCGUUGAUCCUCGGAGCUACAAGCAGGGUUCGGCCUGGUUAGUACUUGAUGGGAAACCAACCUGGGAAUACCAAGUGCUUGUAAGC